rnacentral:rRNA from 1 species
GAUGAACGCUGGCGGCGUGCCUAAUACAUGCAAGUCGAGCGAACGGACGAGAAGCUUGCUUUUCUGAUGUUAGCGGCGGACGGGUGAGUAACACGUGGAUAACCUACCUAUAAGACUGGGAUAACUUCGGGAAACCGGAGCUAAUACCGGAUAAUAUUUUGAACCGCAUGGUUCAAAAGUGAAAGACGGUCUUGCUGUCACUUAUAGAUGGAUCCGCGCUGCAUUAGCUAGUUGGUAAGGUAACGGCUUACCAAGGCAACGAUGCAUAGCCGACCUGAGAGGGUGAUCGGCCACACUGGAACUGAGACACGGUCCAGACUCCUACGGGAGGCAGCAGUAGGGAAUCUUCCGCAAUGGGCGAAAGCCUGGCGGAGCAACGCCGCGUGAGUGAUGAAGGUCUUCGGAUCGUAAAACUCUGUUAUUAGGGAAGAACAUAUGUGUAAGUAACUGUGCACAUCUUGACGGUACCAAAUCAGAAAGCCACGGCUAACUACGUG